rnacentral:rRNA from 1 species
GACGAACGCUGGCGGCGUGCUUAACACAUGCAAGUCGAGCGGUAAGGCCCUUUCGGGGGUACACGAGCGGCGAACGGGUGAGUAACACGUGGGUGACCUGCCCUCAGCUCUGGGAUAAGCCUGGGAAACUGGGUCUAAUACUGGAUAUGACUCCACGGUGCAUGUCGUGGGGUGGAAAGCCUUGUGCGGCUGAGGAUGGGCCCGCGGCCUAUCAGCUUGUUGGUGGGGUGANGGCCUACCAAGGCGACGACGGGUAGCCGGCCUGAGAGGGCGACCGGCCACACUGGGACUGAGACACGGCCCAGACUCCUACGGGAGGCGGCAGUGGGGAAUCUUGCGCAAUGGGCGAAAGCCUGACGCAGCGACGCCGCGUGAGGGAUGACGGCCUGGUGUAAC